rnacentral:rRNA from 1 species
AUUGAACGCUGGCGGCAGGCCUAACACAUGCCAGUCGAGCGGAUGAAGGGAGCUUGCUCCUGGAUUCAGCGGCGGACGGGUGAGUAAUGCCUAGGAAUCUGCCUGGUAGUGGGGGAUAACGUCCGGAAACGGGCGCUAAUACCGCAUACGUCCUGAGGGAGAAAGUGGGGGAUCUUCGGACCUCACGCUAUCAGAUGAGCCUAGGUCGGAUUAGCUAGUUGGUGGGGUAAAGGCCUACCAAGGCGACGAUCCGUAACUGGUCUGAGAGGAUGAUCAGUCACACUGGAACUGAGACACGGUCCAGACUCCUACGGGAGGCAGCAGUGGGGAAUAUUGGACAAUGGGCGAAAGCCUGAUCCAGCCAUGCCGCGUGUGUGAAGAAGGUCUUCGGAUUGUAAAGCACUUUAAGUUGGGAGGAAGGGCAGUAAGUUAAUACCUUGCUGUGUUGACGUUACCAACAGAAUAAGCACCGGCUAACUUCGUG